rnacentral:rRNA from 1 species
UACGUAGGGAGCAAGCGUUGUCCGGAAUCAUUGGGCGUAAAGCGCGCGUAGGCGGCCCGAUAAGUCCGUUGUGAAAGUCAAAGGCUCAACCUUUGAAUGCCGAUGGAUACUGUCGGGCUAGAGUCCGGAAGAGGCGAGUGGAAUUCCUGGUGUAGCGGUGGAAUGCGCAGAUAUCAGGAGGAACACCAAUGGCGAAGGCAGCUCUCUGGGACGGUACUGACGCUGAGACGCGAAAGCGUGGGGAGCGAACAGG